rnacentral:rRNA from 1 species
UACGUAGGGUGCGAGCGUUAAUCGGAAUUACUGGGCGUAAAGCGUGCGUAGGCGGUUCGUUAAGUUCGUUGUGAAAGCCCCGGGCUCAACCUGGGAACUGCAAUGGAAACUGGCGGGCUUGAGUGUGGCAGAGGGGGGUGGAAUUCCGCGUGUAGCAGUGAGAUGCGUAGAGAUGCGGAGGAACACCGAUGGCGAAGGCAGCCCCCUGGGCCAACACUGACGCUCAGGCACGAAAGCGUGGGGAGCAAACAGG